AGCCUUCUCUAUCUGUGCUGAGAUUUCAUCAUCAAACAGGCUGUCAAGGUUGAUGCAACUCUACCAAUACAUAAAGUG
rnacentral:pre_miRNA from 1 species